GAUGAAGAACGUAGCGAAAUGCGAUAAGUAAUGUGAAUUGCAGAAUUCAGUGAAUCAUCGAAUCUUUGAACGCACCUUGCGCUCUUUAGUAUUCCGAAGAGCAUGCCUGUUUGAGUGUCAUGAAAAUAUCAACCUUGACUUGGGUUUUGUGCUCUAGUCUCGGCUUGGAAUUGGGUGCUUGCCGCUUUUACGAGCGGCUCACCUUAAAUGUAUUAGCUGGAUCUGUCUUUGAGACUUGGUUUGACUUGGCGUAAUAAGUAUUUCGCUAAGGACAUUCUUCGGAGUGGCCUCGUUUCUAGGACGCUUGUCCGCUUUCCAAUACAAGUUCCACCUCAUGGACAUGACUUUUUAUUAUCUGGCCUCAAAUCAGGUAGGACUACCCGCUGAACUUAAGCAUAUCAAUAAGCGGAGGA
rnacentral:misc_RNA from 1 species